UAGGUUUGUUUCAUAGAUAUGAAAACUAGCACAGAGAGGCUGAAGAACCUAUCUAGGAAGUAAGCCAAAACUUAAAUCCUUGACCCCUAAGCUUCAGUACCUCAGACAAAGUACCCCAUGAACUAGUGGAUCUCAUUCAAAAUAAGUGACCUGCCUCCAGAAUGAAAUAUGAACAAUCUGGAUCCCCUCUGGUGCUUUCCAGAUUCUCAGCCAUCCUUCCUCAGCUCUCUACACCUCUAGGGUUCUUUGGACCCUGGAGCUAAACAGUUAUACUACUCCUUUCACUUCUGAUUCCAAAGUAGCACAUCACUUAGUCAACCCUAGUUCUCUAUAAAGGAAAGAACCAGUUCUCAGAAAACAUAAAAUAACUACCAUGGCCUUCCAAAAGGCUGUAGAAUAGCCAGGAAUUAAAAUUUCCAGUAUGUGGUUUCUGCUUAGCUCAUAGCAAGUAUUCUAUAAAUAUAUAGUGGUUAAGGGAAUCAAACCUUUUAGGUCCCAUGCUGGGUCCACUGAAGCUAUUAUUGGGGUUCUGCUAAUGAAGAAUAAUAAGAAAGCUGGGUUUCCUGAAUGGCCUUGGGCUGACCAAGGCCAAGGUGCUGUGAAAAUACAAUUUAUUAAAGUACAUGGUAAGCAUGCCCACCCUCUAUUCUAUAUUCCAACUGGGGAGGUAUGGUUUUAUCCAGAAUUUCAGAGGAGUUUAUUCGCAUUUCAACAGAUCAUCUCUAUUAAUGAUUACCAGUACCAGAGGACAUAUCUCCAUAAGAAAGGUUUUUGAAGCCGAGUCAGUGGCUCAAGUCUAUAAUCCUAGCUAUUCAGGAAGCUGAGAUCUAAGGAUUACAGUUUGAAGUAAACCCAAGCAGGAAAGACUGAGAUU